GCACUCAGUUUAGCAGCACAUAUGCUACAACUGGAACCAUACAGAGAAUAUUACAUGGCUCCUGUGUAAAGAUGACACACGGAUUCAUGCAGCAUUCUGUAUUUUU
ensembl:snRNA U6 U6 spliceosomal RNA